GUAACAAGGUUUCCGUAGGUGAACCUGCGGAAGGAUCAUUAACGCGCAGGCCGGAGGCUGGCCCCCCACGAUAGGAAUCAACGUUCCAUCAGGGGUGUGCAGAUGUGCGCCGGUCUUACGCCCCAUUCUUGUCUACCUUACUCGGUUGCCUCGGCGGGCCGCGCUCUCCUGGGAGAGUCGUCCGGCGAGCCUCUUUGGGGGCUUUAGCUGGAUCGCGCCCGCCGGAGGACAGACAUCAAAAAAUCUUGGAAAGCUGUCAGUCUGAGCGUUAGCAAGUAAAAUUAGUUAAAACUUUCAACAACGGAUCUCUUGGUUCCGGCAUCGAUGAAGAACGCAGCGAAAUGCGAUAAGUAAUGUGAAUUGCAGAAUUCCGUGAAUCAUCGAAUCUUUGAACGCACAUUGCGCCCUCUGGUAUUCCGGGGGGCAUGCCUGUUCGAGCGUCAUUUCAACCCCUCAAGCCCGGCUUGUGUGAUGGACGACCGUCCGACCUCCUCUUUCGGGGGCGGGACGCGCCCGAAAAGCAGUGGCCAGGCCGCGAUCCCGGCUUCCUGGGCGAAUGGGCAGUCAAACCAGCGCCCUCAGGACCGGCCGCUCUGGCCUUCCCCCAAAUCUCUCUGAGAUAUUUUUUCAGGUUGACCUCGGAUCAGGUAGGGAUACCCGCUGAACUUAAGCAUAUC
rnacentral:misc_RNA from 1 species